UACGUAGGGGGCUAGCGUUGUCCGGAAUCAUUGGGCGUAAAGCGCGUGUAGGCGGUUCGGUAAGUCCGCUGUGAAAGUCGGGGGCUCAACCCUCGAAAGCCGGUGGAUACUGUCUGGCUAGAGUCCGGAAGAGGAGAGUGGAAUUCCUGGUGUAGCGGUGAAAUGCGCAGAUAUCAGGAAGAACACCCGUGGCGAAGGCGGCUCUCUGGGGACGGUACUGACGCUGAGACGCGAAAGCGUGGGAGCAAACAGG
rnacentral:rRNA from 1 species